rnacentral:rRNA from 1 species
UAGAGUUUGAUCUCGGUUCAGGAGGAACGCUGGCGUGUUGGCUACACACGUGCAAGUCGAACGGAUUCAUUGGGGAUUUAGUGGCGGACGGGUGAGUACACACGUGAGAAUCUACACACAGGAUAGUAACAACAGCGGGAAACUGUUGUUAAUACCCAAUGGCCGAAAGGUAAAAGAUUUAUCGCCUGGGAAUGAGCUGGCGGCGGAUUAGUUAGUUGGUGGGGUAAUGGCCUACCAAGACGGCGAUCGGUAGCUGUUCUGAGAGGAUGAGCAGCCCCACUGGGACUGAGCCCCGGCCCAGACUCUUACGGGAGGCACCAGUGGGGAAUUUUCCCCAAUGGGCCCAAGCCUGACGGACCAAGACCGCGUGGGGGAGGAAGGUUCUUGGGUUGUAAACCCCUUUUUUCAGGGAAGAAGAUAUGACGGUACCUGAGGAAUCAGCCUCGGCUAACUCCGUGCCAGCAGCCGCGGUAAUACGGAGGAGGCAAGCGUUAUCCGGAAUUAUUGGGCGUAAAGCGUCCGUAGGUGGUGGGGCAAGUCGGCGGUUAAAGACUGGGGCUUAACUCCAGAAAGGCCGUGGAAACUGCACCACUAGAGGGCAGUAGGGGUAGAGGGAAUUCCCGGUGUAGCGGUGAAAUGCGUAGAGAUCGGGAAGAACACCAGUGGCGAAAGCGCUCUACUGGACUGCAACUGACACUCAGGGACGAAAGCUAGGGGAGCGAAUGGGAUUAGAUACCCCAGUAGUCCUAGCCGUAAACGAUGGAUUAACUUCGGGUGUGGCC